GGGGAUGACUGGCUUCGACAGGGGAGGCUGGUCCCGGAAUGCGAGCCGAGAGUGCGCCGACCUCGAUAAAUCAGUGCAAACCUUAAGUGCCAACCGCACUUCCUAUGCCGCUAUGCCCCUCGCUGCCUAAUCCGCAGUAGAAGCAAAACCGGCCCGCCCCCACGGGGACGGCGUCUGCCACUCCCGCUUUUCGCCCGGAGAGUGAGCAGGCGACCCAAAGGCGAAAUGCCGCUCCGUAAGGUCACGCGCGGAGUGAAAGAGGGCUUUCGGGCCUGAGUGAAUGGCCGCAGGGCAGUUUUGCCGGGUGAAUUUCCGGCGGCGACACAAUCAACCGGCUACGCUCGUAGAUUUCCGAGGGUCGAAUCUUUUGGACGCGGGUUCGAUUCCCGCCAUCUCCACCA
rnacentral:tmRNA from 2 species